rnacentral:rRNA from 1 species
GGUGAACGCUGGCGGCGUGCCUAAUACAUGCAAGUCGAGCGAACGGACGAGGAGCUUGCUUCUCUGAUGUUAGCGGCGGACGGGUGAGUAACACGUGGAUAACCUACCUAUAAGACUGGGAUAACUUCGGGAAACCGGAGCUAAUACCGGAUAAUAUUUUGAACCGCAUGGUUCAAAAGUGAAAGACGGUCUUGCUGUCACUUAUAGAUGGAUCCGCGCUGCAUUAGCUAGUUGGUAAGGUAACGGCUUACCAAGGCAACGAUGCAUAGCCGACCUGAGAGGGUGAUCGGCCACACUGGAACUGAGACACGGUCCAGACUCCUACGGGAGGCAGCAGUAGGGAAUCUUCCGCAAUGGGCGAAAGCCUGACGGAGCAACGCCGCGUGAGUGAUGAAGGUCUUCGGAUCGUAAAACUCUGUUAUUAGGGAAGAACAUAUGUGUAAGUAACUGUGCACAUCUUGACGGUACCUAAUCAGAAAGCCACGGCUAACUACGUG